rnacentral:rRNA from 1 species
UACGGAGGGGACUAGCGUUGUUCGGAAUUACUGGGCGUAAAGCGCACGUAGGCGGAUUUGUUAGUCAGGGGUGAAAUCCCGAGGCUCAACCUCGGAACUGCCUUUGAUACUGCAAAUCUCGAGUCCGGAAGAGGUGAGUGGAAUUCCUAGUGUAGAGGUGAAAUUCGUAGAUAUUAGGAAGAACACCAGUGGCGAAGGCGGCUCACUGGUCCGGUACUGACGCUGAGGUGCGAAGGCGUGGGGAGCAAACAGG